rnacentral:rRNA from 1 species
AUUGAACGCUGGCGGCAUGCCUUACACAUGCAAGUCGAACGGCAGCACGGGGGCAACCCUGGUGGCGAGUGGCGAACGGGUGAGUAAUGCAUCGGAACGUGCCCAGUUGUGGGGGAUAGCCCGGCGAAAGCCGGAUUAAUACCGCAUACGACCUGAGGGUGAAAGCGGGGGACCGCGAGGCCUCGCGCAAUUGGAGCGGCCGAUGUCGGAUUAGCUAGUUGGUGGGGUAAAGGCUUACCAAGGCGACGAUCCGUAGCUGGUCUGAGAGGACGACCAGCAACACUGGGACCGAGACACGGCCCAGACUCCUACGGGAGGCAGCAGUGGGGAAUUUUGGACAAUGGGCGCAAGCCUGAUCCAGCCAUGCCGCGUGCGGGAAGAAGGCCUUCGGGUUGUAAACCGCUUUUGUCAGGGAAGAAAUGCUUCGGGCUAAUAUCCUGGAGUGAUGACGGUACCUGAAGAAUAAGCACCGGCUAACUACGCGCCAGCCGCCGCAGUAACAC